GUGCUCCCUUUGGCAAAACAUACACUAAAAUUGGAACGAUACAGAGAUUAGCAUGACCCCUGUGCAAGGAUUACACACAAAUUUGUGAAGUGUUCAUGUUUUUA